rnacentral:rRNA from 1 species
UACGAAGGGGGCUAGCGUUGCUCGGAAUCACUGGGCGUAAAGGGUGCGUAGGUGGGUCUUUAAGUCAGAGGUGAAAUCCUGGAGCUCAACUCCAGAACUGCCUUUGAUACUGAGGAUCUUGAGUUCGGGAGAGGUGAGUGGAACUGCGAGUGUAGAGGUGAAAUUCGUAGAUAUUCGCAAGAACACCAGUGGCGAAGGCGGCUCACUGGCCCGGUACUGACGCUGAGGUGCGAAAGCGUGGGGAGCAAACAGG